rnacentral:lncRNA from 1 species
AUCAAAACAAAACAAAAACACUAAAUAAUAAAAUAGGCAAGCAAAAGAAAAUAAAUGGAACAACACAAUAAACUCUCCAACAAAUCAAAAUAACUUAAGCAACAUUUUAAAAGAAUGCAGAGUUUAGGUUAUUGUAUGAAUUUAAAAUAUUCUCACUAAUGUGACAUUUUAAUACAUUUAAAAUACUGUACAUUGCUAAACCUGCUUUAUCUUACUUCUCUUUCCUCUUUUUUUCCGAAUGAAGCUACUGUCAAAUUCUUCAGUUGUUCACUUUUAAAUAGAUCUAAUGUCCUAUUUUUCAGACCACUGAACCUAUAUAAUAUCCAUGAAGCUAGUAUAACUCUGCAGACAUCCUAGCUAUUCAGGCAAUGUUAUAAAGGCAUCAUCAUUGUUCAUUUGUCUGAUCUCUAUGUAUCUUGUCAUCUUUCCAGGGUAAGAUUGCCAAGGUCUUGGACUCUUCAUUUGGUGGAGUCUAAUUCUGUUCUCUUUACAAAGAGCUAGGGUUACACUCAGCAAAGGUUACCAUUUACGUGAGACAUGAAGCCGGCUAGCGUAACGCAUCACCAAAGUAAAACCCCUGGCUAUUUUUUCCCUCAAGGACAUCCCCAGUGCCACAUAAAAUCAAGAAAGAACACUUCAGGAUAGGUCACACGUAGGGCCUGCAUGUACUAUGAACCCACACUUUCAUUUUUAUAUUCUGGAGUGCGCUAUUUUCAGAACAGUCAGACAAAGGGGUAUUUUUCCUUUUGAAAAAUCUCCUUUUCUCUCCCCUAGAGGAAAAUACAUGAGAAUCAAAUGUAAGAGACUACAGUGGCUUUAGCAAGAGAAGCCAAUAUUUAAGGGUGAGCUUUCUUUUAGAAAUUAUUCCUUUUUGUGUUUGGCUUUGCUUUAUCAUUUACUCAAAUUAGUUAUCAAAGAUUUUUAAUAAAUAAAUAAUAUUUUAAAUUGUUUCAGUAAUUUCUAAGACUCAGCUCAUUAUCUUUCAAACCUCUGCAUUCUGAAGUGGCAGUCAAAGCCAGUGCCCUAAGUGCUGACUGCUUUUGCUUUAAGCACUAACGUUCAUCUUUCUUUCUCUUAUCCUCGGAUGGAAAUUCAUCUACUCUGGUAAUUCUGAAAAUUGGAGAUUUUAAAGCAUGAUCGGGCUUCGAGAUUUUUUUUAAAUGUUUAAAAAUAGCAAAUAUUAAACCUAGAAGAAACCUUAGGGACCAUCUCACUUCUGAUAUAACUGAGACCCCAAAAGUCUUGCCCAAAUCAUAACUAAUAAACGACAGCCAUAAAACAGAAUCCAGAUUGCCUUAAUCUUGAAUUAGUGCUCUCUUUCACCAUAUUACUUGAUCUUUCUAUAUUUUUAUCCAUUUCAGAUACAGAUUAUAUAACUCAGCAAUAUGCCCAAAGUAAGAUUCAGGGCAUUUCUUUGUUCCAUUAGUCAUCACUGUCUUUUUUCAUUGGUUGGAAGAUCAGGGACAGGAAACAGGAAACUCCUUCUUGGCCUCCCCACCCCAUGGAUUAAAUGGUAGCAGGGGCUGCCUGGUGCCUUGCCCAUGAAGCUUGACUAUUCAUGCUUAGAAGGAGGAGCAUCAUGAACAUUAAGAAACCAGGUGCUCAGGGAAGUAAGGAAGUUUUAUCUCUGGAAUUGUGGUUGAAAUGUGCUACAGAAAUUUCAGGGUAAGUGCAGAAUCUCAUGUGGAUGUGCAUUUGUUGCGUGUGAAUAUAGUGAAAGUUCCACUUUAAAAAAUACCAAAAAAAAAAAAAAAACCUAAGACUUUGCAGACAAACUUUUAAGUGAUUAUUUGCUUUAUAGGUUAUUUCUUCUAGACAACGUGUUUCAUAACACACCCUGAUUACCAGACUGAGACAAAAGAAAUUUAAAGUGAAACAAUUAGGAACCAUAAUCCACUAAUAAUUGGUUAAAAAGGCAAAAAAAGUAUUAAAAUGAUUAUGCAAAUGUAGAGAAAUUUAAGAAUUAUAGGUAAAAAUGUGUGCUACAUUCAAAUGUGUAUACAGUGAGGCAUUUCUAUCAAAGUCGCCUCUAAUCUUUCUUUCACUUGACGGUGUUUGGUUUUGUUUCCCCCACAGGAUAAAGAAGAAAACCACUAGAGUUUCUCUGACCAUCAGCUCCCCAACGAAUGAAACCUCCAACAACAGAUCAAGUUACUCUAACUUAGUUCAACAACUGUAUAUUAAUCCCUAGAGGAUGCAGAGUCCCUGCAGCAGCCUGUCAGGAUCCACUUGUGUAGUACCCUCUGUGUUUACCAAGCAUCUUCAAGACAUCCCUACAACCAGAGGUCAGUUGGUCAUGUUUGAAUGCGGAAUCCAGGCCACAGCCACAGUUCAAGUUCACUGAGAAAUUAGGAAAAAAUGAUUCUCUUCGGUGAAAAAGGCCACCUCAGUAUUAGUGUGUUCAACAGUGGUUCAUAUUCAGAGAAGAUAUAGUCAUCUGGUCUAAUCUUCACAUUAGGGAUGAAGAAAGUCUGGGUAAGUAAAGUAAUUUUCACAAGGUCACAGAGCAAUUUAGUGAUAAAAGCAGAACUAAAAUCAAGUUCUUCUACCCUGCCACUUAUUCAUUCCUUUAUGCACCUUUUCUGAGUUUCUGAAGAAUUUACUUACCGUCUGUGACUCCAGAUUAGUCAAUUUUGUAUUUGUUUCCAGGUAUUUCUCAUAUACAUAUGGCCCCUUCUCCCAACUAAAUUAUCAUCACUUAAAUUCUCUCUCUUUUUUCUUGUUUUAUCUUUCAGAAGUUUAUCAUCCAUUCCUGGUAAGUAUAAUUUCUUAAAAUCUUGAAAAUUGAUUAAAUCAACAUUAGCAUCAGAAGACAUUGUCCCCUAAGUCACUCUUGCCUUCAUGAGCUCUUUUGAGGCUCCCCUACAUCAACUCUUGAACUGACACAACAGAAGAAGCAAGACAGCUGGGAUUUAUCAGUGUUUUUAUUCAUAUAUUUAUUCAUUCAACAUAGGUUUACUGAGUACAGACUAAUGGUUAGUCUCUGUUCUUGGUAUUAAGGAGACAGCAAUGAACCAGACUGACAAGGUCCCCACUCUCAAAGAAUAUGCAUUCUCCCUGUAAUCCCACUUGGUUUAGGAUUUGUGACUCGUGAACUUUAUACAGAAGCAAUAAGGAGAUGUCCUGACAUCGAACAUCCAAACUGCUCACUGUCCAAGAAGUAGUUGUGGUGACCAUCACACUGUGGCCAUCUCUGUAUUAACAUGAGGUCUAAGCGUGAUGGUAGUGAUAAUUUCUAGUUCAGUUCAGAAUAUGUUUCCAUAGGACUAAAGCUACAGAAAUCUAGAAAUCAAGGAAUAAAAUGUAAUCCCUGCUUUCAAGGAUUUCAUAGUCUAGUAGAGAAAACAAACAUGUCUAAGAGGCAGUUGAUAAGAACCAUGAUGGGACUGUUUAAGACUUUUUUUUAAUUUUAUUGAUAUAUAUUAGAGGUACAUAUUUUCAAGGUAUAUGUAAUAAUAUAUUCAUAUAAUGAAAUCAGGGUAAAUGAGAUAUGCAUCACCUAAAUUACUUUUCUUUACACUAGAAACAUUCAAAUUAUUCUCUUCUAGCUAUUUUGAAAUGUACAAUUAAU